CCGGCCAUACAGUUUGAAAUGAGCCACGGCUCCAAAAUCAGCACACUCAGUGUUAACCUGCAAAUCAGUAAGGGGGGGAUAGUUUUACAGUCAGCUGAUAUUACCAUCGUACCCAGAGAUAAACAACUGUAGGAGCUGUCGAGAGUAAAUGUCACUGCCACAGGUUUCCCUCUCUCUCUCUCUUUUUUUUCUAUCUCUCUCUACCCGGGGACAAGGUUGGAAAAGCGGGAGAUGAAAAGACCGUACACCCGAAGAUAAAUAGCCUUCGGUUCGUCAAACAGAAACGUAAACAGGGUAUCAGCUGCCUCGGCUGUGACCUCACCAUGGUGACGUGUAAUCCAGAUUAACCUGCUCUCUUAUUCCGCCAGACAUGGAAGUGAUUAGAGAUUAUGACCGUGUCCUUUUAAUAGAAUUGGACGUGUGGGUAAUCAACUGCGUCCACCAGCGUCGCGUGUCAGUGAUCACACUUGUGUUGCUGAUGGAAUAUCCUUUUUGGUGUUGCUGUUGCAGCAGGAAAAAAGCCUGUCAUCAGGUCACAUCAGCGACUGGACAACUGCCUUAGAGAGUGACGUCACAUGCACGUCUUGCUCCAGCAGCUUUACUGUACACACCGGAGACACGGUAAGCUGGGGAAGCCCUUACUCACACACACACACACACACACACACACACAGCCACACUCACUAAUCCAAUUAGGACAUUAGUUAGUAGCAGCCUGGCUCGGGCCACCUCGGACACACACUGAUCCAGUUAUUACUGGAUGGAUA